AUACGGAAGGUCCGGGCGUUAUCCGGAUUUAUUGGGUUUAAAGAGAGCGCAGGCGGCCUUUUAAGCGUGACGUGAAAUGUAGGCGCUCAACGUCUGAAUUGCGUCGCGAACUGUUAGGCUUGAGUAGACGGAAUGUCGGCGGAAUUCGUGGUGUAGCGGUGAAAUGCUUAGAUAUCACGAAGAACUCCGAUUGCGAAGGCAGCUGACAGCAGUUUUACUGACGCUCAUGCUCGAAAGUGCGGGUAUCGAACAGGAUUAGAUACCCUGGUAGUCCGCACGGUAAACGAUGGAUGCCCGCUGUUUGCUUUUUUAGUAAGCGGCCAAGCGAAAGCAUUAGGCAUCCCACCUGGGGAGUACGCCGGCAACGGUGAAACUCAAAUGAAUUGACGGGG
rnacentral:rRNA from 1 species